CACUGAGAUUCUGUACCUGGAUUAAUUUUUGGAAGUGUAAUAAUUUUGUUUUUUAUUAGAUCUUUAUAUAAAUCCCAAUCAACAUCAUUAAGCUUAUAUUUUAAACGAGGAGAAUAAGUAUUAUGUAAUACUUUAUUGUUAUUAUUGCAGGUUGGAAAUGAUAAUAAUAGUGGGAAGUGAUCACUACCAAAAGUAGAUCGUAAUGGAUCCCAGGACAAAGAAGAAGCAAGAUUAGGUGUAGUGACUGUUAUAUCUGGAGCACUUGGGCCCUCGUCAGGAUGAGAACGUCGUGUUGGACGACCAUCAUUUAAUAUACACAAAUUCACUGAAUCAAAUAUAUCUAUUAAUGUGUUACCAUAACUAUUAGAAGAUAAGUAACCCCAGGAUUCAUGGCGACAGUUAAAAUCACCAAGGAUCAUAAAAGGCUUCGGAAGAAUGGAAAUAAUAUCUUUAAUUUCAUUUAAGAUUGCAGAAGAAGGAUGAGGUAUAUAAAUAGAUACAUAACAGAUAUUUUCAACUAAAGCAGCAAUAAUAGAAAAAUCAUUACUGUGAGAAGGAAUAGAGAAGAGAGAAAAGGAAAGAGGGUGUUUCACAAGCAUGGCUACUCCGCCAUGCCCAUCCACACGAUCUUCUCUGAGACAUGAAUAACCACGAAUCUUAAAUAAAGGUCCUGGUUUCAACCAUGUCUCUUGAAGAGCACAGAUAUAAGAAACUAAUAAGGCAGCGUUGGACGGUGAAAAUUCAUUCGAUUGACUAAGAGAUUUUAUAAGAGAAAUAAUUAAAUCAAUUACUGAGGAUUCCAAAGGAUUUUCAUUUUCUUUGUUAAUUAAUGCACAUCCAUUAGAGGGUUGGGGAAUAUUAAAAUCCCUUAAAAUUUCUUGUGUCUGCAUAUUCUGGGUCGAGCUGACACUCUUUUACGGCCACUAGAUGUCUGAGACACAGAACCAUCUGUAUCCAUAGUGCUACCUUCGUCAUUAUUAGAAAUUGUCACUACAUGACCUAUAUCAGGGGCUGUCCCCCCAGGAUCAUCCGGGGGGUCCAUCAUAU